CCUCUCGUAGUUUUUAGUGGUCAGAACAUUGGUGCGUAAUAGCCAAAGGUCCCGGGUUCGAUUCCCGGCGGGGGUG
rnacentral:tRNA from 1 species